UACGGAGGGUGCAAGCGUUAUCCGGAUUACUGGGUUUAAAGGGUGCGCAGGCGGAUAUGUAAGUCAGUGGUGAAAUCUCCGGGCUUAACCCGGAACUGCCGUUGAUACUAUAUAUCUUGAAUGCCGUGGAGGUAAGCGGAAUAUGUCAUGUAGCGGUGAAAUGCUUAGAUAUGGACAUAGAACACCUAUUGCGAAGGCAGCUUACUACACGGAGA
rnacentral:rRNA from 1 species